GACGAACGCUGGCGGUGUGCUUAACACAUGCAAGUCGAACGGUAAGGCCCUUUCGGGGGUACAUGAGUGGCGAACGGGUGAGUAACAAGUGAGUAACUUGCCCUCAUCUCUGGGAUAACAGUCGGCAACGAAUGCUAAUACAUGCCGUGAGCUUGCUAGGCAUCUUGGGGGGUGGAAGGAUUUUUUCUGGUGGGGGAUGGGGUCGCGGGGUAUCUGCGUGUUGGUGAGGGAGUGGCGCACCAAGACUUCGAGGGGUAGCCGGCCUGAGAGGGGGACAGGCGACAGUGGGACGGUGAGACGCGGCAAACUCCUACAGGAGGCAGCAGUGGGGAAUAUCGUACAAUGUACGGAAGUCUGAUGUAGCAACGCCGCGUGCGGGAUGACGGCGUUCGCGUUGUAUACCGCGUUCAAUUGUGACGAAGAGCUUUUGUGACGGUAGCAGGAGAAGAAGCACCGGCUAACUACGUG
rnacentral:rRNA from 1 species